rnacentral:rRNA from 1 species
GAUGAACGCUGGCGGCGUGCCUAACACAUGCAAGUCGAACGCUGGAGAUCUAGCUUGCUAGUUCGAAGGAGUGGCGAACGUGAGAGUAUGACAGAAGCAACCGACACACGAAGACAGGGAGAAUCGCAGGAAAGGGGGACAAAUACAGAAUAGUGAUUCGGAAGGCUUCUUGUGGUGAUUAAAGGGUAAAAACGCUGGAGGAUGGGCUGAUGGAGGAUUAGUUGGUGGGUGAGGUAACGGCCGACCAAGACGAUGAUGCGUAGACGGCCGGAGCGAGUGAACGCCCACAUUGGGACUGAGACACCGCCCAUACUCCUGCGGCACGCAGCAGUAGGGUAGUGUAGGCAGCGGGGGCGACCCUUACCCAGCGACGCCGCGUGAGUGAAGACGGCGUUCGGGGUGUAAAGCUCUGUUGUAAGGGAAGAACGGUAGAUAGAAAAUAUCUAAGUGACGGUACCUUACCAGAAAGCCACGGCUAACUACGUG